GGUUAAGCGACUAAGCGUACACGGUGGAUGCCCUGGCAGUCAGAGGCGAUGAAGGACGUGCUAAUCUGCGAUAAGCGUCGGUGAGGUGAUAUGAACCGUUAUAACCGGCGAUUUCCGAAUGGGGAAACCCAGUGUGUUUCGACACACUAUCAUUAACUGAAUCCAUAGGUUAAUGAGGCGAACCGGGGGAACUGAAACAUCUAAGUACCCCGAGGAAAAGAAAUCAACCGAGAUUCCCCCAGUAGCGGCGAGCGAACGGGGAGGAGCCCAGAGCCUGAAUCAGUGUGUGUGUUAGUGGAAGCGUCUGGAAAGGCGCGCGAUACAGGGUGACAGCCCCGUACACAAAAAUGCACAUAUUGUGAGCUCGAUGAGUAGGGCGGGACACGUGGUAUCCUGUCUGAAUAUGGGGGGACCAUCCUCCAAGGCUAAAUACUCCUGACUGACCGAUAGUGAACCAGUACCGUGAGGGAAAGGCGAAAAGAACCCCGGCGAGGGGAGUGAAAAAGAACCUGAAACCGUGUACGUACAAGCAGUGGGAGCCUCUUAAUGGGGUGACUGCGUACCUUUUGUAUAAUGGGUCAGCGACUUAUAUUCUGUAGCAAGGUUAACCGAAUAGGGGAGCCGAAGGGAAACCGAGUCUUAACUGGGCGUUAAGUUGCAGGGUAUAGACCCGAAACCCGGUGAUCUAGCCAUGGGCAGGUUGAAGGUUGGGUAACACUAACUGGAGGACCGAACCGACUAAUGUUGAAAAAUUAGCGGAUGACUUGUGGCUGGGGGUGAAAGGCCAAUCAAACCGGGAGAUAGCUGGUUCUCCCCGAAAGCUAUUUAGGUAGCGCCUCGUGAAUUCAUCUCCGGGGGUAGAGCACUGUUUCGGCAAGGGGGUCAUCCCGACUUACCAACCCGAUGCAAACUGCGAAUACCGGAGAAUGUUAUCACGGGAGACACACGGCGGGUGCUAACGUCCGUCGUGAAGAGGGAAACAACCCAGACCGCCAGCUAAGGUCCCAAAGUCAUGGUUAAGUGGGAAACGAUGUGGGAAGGCCCAGACAGCCAGGAUGUUGGCUUAGAAGCAGCCAUCAUUUAAAGAAAGCGUAAUAGCUCACUGGUCGAGUCGGCCUGCGCGGAAGAUGUAACGGGGCUAAACCAUGCACCGAAGCUGCGGCAGCGACACUAUGUGUUGUUGGGUAGGGGAGCGUUCUGUAAGCCUGUGAAGGUGUGCUGUGAGGCAUGCUGGAGGUAUCAGAAGUGCGAAUGCUGACAUAAGUAACGAUAAAGCGGGUGAAAAGCCCGCUCGCCGGAAGACCAAGGGUUCCUGUCCAACGUUAAUCGGGGCAGGGUGAGUCGACCCCUAAGGCGAGGCCGAAAGGCGUAGUCGAUGGGAAACAGGUUAAUAUUCCUGUACUUGGUGUUACUGCGAAGGGGGGACGGAGAAGGCUAUGUUGGCCGGGCGACGGUUGUCCCGGUUUAAGCGUGUAGGCUGGUUUUCCAGGCAAAUCCGGAAAACCAAGGCUGAGGCGUGAUGAC
rnacentral:rRNA from 1 species